GAUGAAGAACGCAGCGAAAUGCGAUAAGUAAUGCGAAUUGCAGAAUUCAGUGAGUCAUCGAAUCUUUGAACGCACAUUGCGCCCUGUGGUAUUCCGCAGGGCAUGCCUGUUCGAGCGUCAUUUCAACCCUCAAGCCCCGCUUGGUGUUGGGCCCCGCCCGCUGUGGCCGGCCCUAAAGACAGUGGCGGCGCCGCCUGGCCCUCAGCGUAGUACAUCUCUCGCUCCAGGGUCCGGUGGCCGCCUGCCAGAACCCCCCAACUCUGUGGUUGACCUCGGAUCAGGUAGGGAUACCCGCUGAACUUAAGCAUAUCAAAAGCGGAGGA
rnacentral:misc_RNA from 1 species